rnacentral:lncRNA from 1 species
AAUGCUCCAGCUGCUCCAGUUUCUCCUGGCCCUUCAGUUCCAGUUGCCGUUGUUCCCUCUGGCUCUUCAGUUCCAGCUCCUGGUACUUCCUCAGUGUGGCUUGAUCUAAGAACCCAGUCUACCGUUGAGAGUCUUAGUAAAAGAAUUCCAGGAAAUAAUAACUUUGUCAAGUCCAAGACAGGCCUUCCACUUAGCACUUACUUCAGUGCAGUGAAACUUCGUUGGCUCCUUGACAAUGUGAGAAAAGUUCAAAAGGCCGUUGAAGAAAAACGAGCUCUUUUUGGGACUAUUGAUUCAUGGCUUAUUUGGAGUUUGACAGGAGGAGUCAAUGGAGGUGUCCACUGUACAGAUGUAACAAAUGCAAGUAGGAC